rnacentral:lncRNA from 1 species
GAAUGAGCGGUUGGCUCGGGCUGGUUUCCUCCCUCCACCGCCUGCUUGUUUCGCCAUGCCCGGGCCGGACGGUGGGGCUGCAGCGGCGAAAGCGACUGAAGUCCGGGAGCAGUCGCAUGAGCUUCCCGGUCACCAGGAGGCCCCGGGAACAGACACCUCACCCUGACAUUGUGGCAGGAACUUCUGGAUUGCUUUCCAAAGUGGCUGCACUGUUUUCUAUCCCCACUGAAAAGCUUGCUAACUCCUGGUUUAAUAGAAUAAAAAGGGCUGGGCGCGGUGACUCACGCCUGUAAUCCUAGCACUUUGGGAGGCUGAGGUGGGCGGAUCACGAGGUCAAGAGAUUGAGACCAUCCUGGCCAACAUGGUGAUCAAAAGAUCGAGACCAUCCUGGCCAACAUGGUGAAACCCCGUCUCUGCUAAAAAUACAAAAAUUAGCUGGGCAUGGUGGCGUGCACCUGUAGUCCCAGCUACUUAGGAGACUGAGGCAGGAGAAUUGCUUGAACCCGGGAGGCAGAGGUUGCAGUGAGCUGAGAUUGUACCACUCGCAGUGAGCUGAGAUUGUACCACUCUACCCCAGCCUGGCAACAGAACGAGACUCCAUCUCAAAAAAAAAAAAAAAAAAAAAAAGGUAUGGAAAGCAAUUGACAUGUACUUGCUGUGUGACCUUGGGAAGUCACUUUAUGUCUCUGGUCUUUAUUUUUAUUAUCUAUA